GCACUCUUAAGAUUGAGCUGUGAUGGGGAGAGGAAAUUGUUUCCUCGAGUCGUUGAUUUCACACUGCCGAGAAAAGCCUCUAGAUAGAUAAUAGGUGCCCGUACCGCAAACCGACACAGGUAGUCAAGAUGAGAAUUCUAAGGUGAGCGAGCGAACUCUCGUUAAGGAACUCGGCAAAAUGACCCCGUAACUUCGGGAGAAGGGGUGCUCUUUAGGGUGCAAGCCCAGAAGAGCCGCAGUGAAUAGGCCCAAGCGACUGUUUAUCAAAAACACAGGUCUCUGCUAAACCGUAAGGUGAUGUAUAGGGGCUGACGCCUGCCCGGUGCUGGAAGGUUAAGAGGAGUGGUUAGCUUCUGCGAAGCUACGAAUCGAAGCCCCAGUAAACGGCGGCCGUAACUAUAACGGUCCUAAGGUAGCGAAAUUCCUUGUCGGGUAAGUUCCGACCCGCACGAAAGGCGUAACGAUUUGGGCACUGUCUCAACGAGAGACUCGGUGAAAUCAUAGUACCUGUGAAGAUGCAGGUUACCCGCGACAGGACGGAAAGACCCCGUGGAGCUUUACUGUAGCCUGAUAUUGAAAUUCGGCACAGCUUGUACAGGAUAGGUAGGAGCCUUUGAAACGUGAGCGCUAGCUUACGUGGAGGCGCUGGUGGGAUACUACCCUAGCUGUGUUGGCUUUCUAACCCGCACCACUUAUCGUGGUGGGAGACAGUGUCAGGCGGGCAGUUUGACUGGGGCGGUCGCCUCCUAAAAGGUAACGGAGGCGCUCAAAGGUUCCCUCAGAAUGGUUGGAAAUCAUUCAUAGAGUGUAAAGGCAUAAGGGAGCUUGACUGCGAGACCUACAAGUCGAGCAGGGUCGAAAGACGGACUUAGUGAUCCGGUGGUUCCGCAUGGAAGGGCCAUCGCUCAACGGAUAAAAGCUACCCCGGGGAUAACAGGCUUAUCUCCCCCAAGAGUUCACAUCGACGGGGAGGUUUGGCACCUCGAUGUCGGCUCAUCGCAUCCUGGGGCUGUAGUCGGUCCCAAGGGUUGGGCUGUUCGCCCAUUAAAGCGGUACGCGAGCUGGGUUCAGAACGUCGUGAGACAGUUCGGUCCCUAUCCGUCGUGGGCGUAGGAAAUUUGAGAGGAGCUGUCCUUAGUACGAGAGGACCGGGAUGGACAUACCUCUGGUGUACCAGUUGUCGUGCCAACGGCAUAGCUGGGUAGCUAUGUAUGGACGGGAUAAGUGCUGAAAGCAUCUAAGCAUGAAGCCCCCCUCAAGAUGAGAUUUCCCAACUUCGGUUAUAAGAUCCCUCAAAGAUGAUGAGGUUAAUAGGUUCGAGGUGGAAGCGUGGUGACACGUGGAGCUGACGAAUACUAAUCGAU
rnacentral:rRNA from 1 species